ACCACUUCUCGGUCUUUUGGUUAAGAUCAUGUCUAGUCAUAUGUUCUUAUCAGUUGAAUAUCCUCUAUCCCAGUACAAUAGAAUCAAUGAGAGUUGGAAAUGGGAGAUGGAAUAAGAGCUUGAUCUCUCCAUUUUGUGCAUUUAUAUGGUAUUUCAGUACUUCCAGGAAUGGUGAAGUAGUU